GCGCCCGUAGCUCAACGGAUAGAGCAUCUGACUACGGAUCAGAAGGUUGGGGGUUCGAAUCCCUCCGGGCGUAC
rnacentral:tRNA from 1 species